rnacentral:rRNA from 1 species
ACAACGAAGAGUUUGAUCCUGGCUCAGGAUGAACGCUAGCGACAGGCCUAACACAUGCAAGUCGAGGGGCAGCACAUAAGGUAGCAAUACUUUUGGUGGCGACCGGCGCACGGGUGAGUAACACGUAUGCAACCUACCUGUAAGCGGGGAAUAACCCGGAGAAAUCCGGACUAAUACCGCAUAAUACUGUUUUUCCGCAUGGAGAGACAGUUAAACAU